rnacentral:rRNA from 1 species
GACGAACGCUGGCGGCGUGCCUAAUACAUGCAAGUCGAACGCACAGUUUAUACCGUAGCUUGCUACACCAUAAACUGUGAGUUGCGAACGGGUGAGUAACGCGUAGGUAACCUGCCUGGUAGCGGGGGAUAACUAUUGGAAACGAUAGCUAAUACCGCAUAAUAUUAAUUAUUGCAUGAUAAUUGAUUGAAAGAUGCAAUUGCAUCACUACCAGAUGGACCUGCGUUGUAUUAGCUAGUAGGUGAGGUAACGGCUCACCUAGGCGACGAUACAUAGCCGACCUGAGAAGGUGAUCGGCCACACUGGGACUGAGACACGGCCCAGACUCCUACGGGAGGCAGCAGUAGGGAAUCUUCGGCAAUGGACGAAAGUCUGACCGAGCAACGCCGCGUGAGUGAAGAAGGUUUUCGGAUCGUAAAGCUCUGUUGUAAGAGAAGAACGGGUGUGAGAGUGGAAAGUUCACACUGUGACGGUAUCUUAACAGAAAGAGACGGCUAACUACGUG